rnacentral:rRNA from 1 species
AGAGUUUGAUCAUGGCUCAGGACAAACGCUGGCGGCGUGCGUAACACAUGCAAGUCGAACGCAUCGCUCUUCGGAGCGAUGAGUGGCGGACGGGUGAGGAACACGUGGAUGACCUGUCCUUCCAGUGGGGGAUACCGCCCAGAAAUGGGGGUUAAUCCCGCAUACGCGGUCCUUGGUCGACAAGGAUCUGAAAGCUCGAA